GCGGUAGCUCAGUUGGAAGAGUCAUUGGCCCGGAAAACCAAAGGUCCCGGGUUCAAUGCCCCGGUCGAAGCA